AAAUUGCCAGGGGAUUUUUGAUAUCUCGAACGGUUUGCUCGUGGCGAGGCGUUGAAAUUAUGGCGAGAAAUGAGAAACAGGAAGUGUCUAAUAACAUCCACAUACAUUUCCUGAUUUUAAUUAAACUUCAUCAAUUUGUUCGUUGUAUGAUGCCGAUCGCAUAUAUGUGACUAUUAGGAGUCAAAAUUAUAGCGCCACCAACUGGCAGCAGGAAGUGUGUCAUUUUCAAAAUGCUUUGAAUUCAGCAUCUUAUUUUUACUCAAUUUGCUUCAAACUUCAUCAGAAUAAUGACAAAACACGGCCCAUGUAAAACUGUUGAGGG
ensembl:lncRNA